AAGUGGCCCAGGUCAGUGCUGCCUCUCUUGAAGAUGAGUCUGAGGCAAUAAACCAACAGGGAAAGUAGUUCAAUAUUAUACUGUAUGUGACAGCUCUAGAGAAAUUAAGAGAAACUCAGUGUGCAAAACACUUUGAAAAGUAAUUUCUUUUUUUAAUGUAAAAACAUUCAUGUGCAUUAUUUAAAAUUCUAUAAUAAUUGUAUUUUGAGAUUAUGGAGUCACCAAUUGUAAUUUUAAUAGUCUGAUGAUGUCCAUUUCUCUGUUUUGAGGUCAUAUUUCUUAGUGUAGUUACUGUAAAAUUAAAUGCACACCAUUAAGUCACACAACUCAACGUGCUACUGUAAGUCCAUGAGAGCCAUAUCAAUAUUCAAGAAAUCUUUCCUGGUAUCUGAUUGGUUAAAUAUCACUGUACAAUUCUUUUUACUUUGUCUUUGUCAUAUUUCAGUAUUUAGGUGUAAUUUAAAUUUAACAAAACUUUAAUUCUAAAGAACAAAAUCCAUAACCAGAAAAAUUCUAUUUUCUCAAAAUGGCUUCCAUCUCUCGUGUCUCUAUGCUGGGGGGAGAAAUAAUACCCUCUUCCAUCAUGACUUGGAUGCCAUGGCAACUACACUCCCUCCUGCUUCAAAGAAACACACCAUUUUUCACCACCCGCACCCCCCACCUGCCCCCUCCAAGUCUUUCUCAAAUACAUAGUGCUCUUAACAAUCGCUCAUGCAGUUGCAUAUCAAACAAGAAUGAUGCAAGAAAACACAUCUAUACAUUUUUUUAUUUAAUCCUGGACCUCACAAAAUUAUUUUUAAUUAACAAUAAUGAGUUAUUUGGUCAAUGUACACACUCCUACCACUACUGCAUAUGCUAAUCUUUCUUAAACAAAGCACGUUCAAGAGUAGAUGCCAUCAUAAAAAGACAAAAGAGAAAAAAGCAGAAAUAUGAAACUGAAAUGUCUGUAUGUGGAGAAAGCUUAUGUAUGCUAAUAUGUACAUAUGCUUCAAGCUUUUGGUGGCAAUGUAAGGUGCAAAGUAUGAACAUUAAAAGACAUAAUUUAAGCACUUUGUUCCAUCUUAAAAUAAAUAACUGCAUCACUGGUUAUGUUGGUACACUGUAUUAAUGGCAUUUUAUAGCCCAACUGUCAUGAGAGUAAAUAUAUGUAAAUUGCAUAUGCAUGAUCAGAUGGUAAGAAUAAUGAUAUAUAAUUUUCAAUAGCUUUUCUUGUUCCAACAUGUUCUUUGAUAGACUUUUGGAGAUCAAAAAUAUUAAAACAUUGGUAUCAAGUUACAGUGUGAUAUUACUUCAUCAAUAAGGGUGCAAAUUGGUUUUCAGUUACACUGACUAAAGAAAUGGAUAUGACGGUCUGACUAUUCCAAUCUCAUACAAUAGUAAACAAGCAUAGUGGUAUAUACAAAAGGAUAAAUUAAAUGCAAAAAAAAAAAAAAAAAAAUACCAAUCAUCCAACCAACCAGCCAACAAACAAACAACAAACAAACAAAAACACAUCAUUCGCAGGGGUAAAAAAAAAAAAAAAAAAGUCAGAAAAGACAUUUUCAAAAGACUCUAAAACACGUAUCAGCAUCUCUGCCUCUUCAUUUCACUUUAUUUGUCCUUUCUUGUUUCAUUUGAAACCCACUGAAGAUGAAUUCUAGCACUAUGAUGGCUUUGUGCAUGGACAUUAAUGACCUUUAUUAAAACCAUACAUCUUUCUCUGCCGCCCUCAUUACUAUCCUAUAACCUGCACAGAACCACACUGCACACCACAAUAUUGAAAUAAAGUUUAAGUGUUUUUCCCCACAAUCCAAUUUAAAUAAAUACUCGUUAUAAUUGUGAAACGGUUUUUAGAUAAGCUGGAAGCUAUAAUCGACUUUUACAUCUAAUAACUGACAUUAGGAGAUGAUAAAUGUGUCUUAUCUGUGUUAAGAGGCCUUAGUAGUAUCAGGCAUGCGAUGGGGAAGUUAGGAGACAUGAGCUGGUGAGCAGUAUCACCAUCUCUGUAACUAUUUUAUUGAGAUCAUAAAAUUUGGUUUCCAUCAGCUUUUGUUUCAUCCUUAAUAUGUUGAUUAGCCCUAAAUUUGGGGAGCAAAAAAAGGUGAAAUCAGUUCAAAAGAACAUUCUCAUUUGUGCUAGAUUAACCAUCAGGUUUUCUCACUGUGAAAGGCAAAAUGAAACUAGAAAAGAAUUAAGAGCCCAGAGGUUUAAAUUUAGGAUGUCUCCAUGGCGUGUAGAGAAAUCUUUAAUUUUUCCCUUUUGUCUAAAAUAUAACACUUUGUUGUGUUGUUUGUUUUGAAGCCACAGGAAAAUUAUAGUAGAUUCCUUACCCUUAAGGAAAUGGAAAUUUUUCAUAUAAAAAGACCAAACAAGACUUUUGACACUUUAUGUCACCAACAGUAUCUGAGUGUCUGUCUGGCUCCCAAAGUGUCUAACAGCUUCUAUCUCUCUGGUUAAGACUUAAGCCAUGACCCAUCACUCUCUCCCCCAACCUUUUGAUCCCUCAUCCUCAACCCGUCUCAUUCAGUCUUUCAUGCUUCCUGGUUUUUCUCUGGUGAUUCUUCCAGGGUGAUCACAGUAAACUCCUCCGUGUUGCCAUUCUCCUGGAUCUUCUCUUUGUUCAUAAGCGUCACCAUUUCCUGCUCUCUCUCCUGAGCCUCGGGGCUGGCCGCUGAUGCUGCUGUCCCAUUGCCCUCACCGCUGCUCUUGGAGGUGAUCAUCAGAGUCUGGCUUCUCCCACACCACCUAUGCCAAC
ensembl:lncRNA